ACGGGUGCGGAACACGUACAGAACCUUCCUUCGAGCGGGGAAUAGCCCAGAGAAAUUUGGAUUAAUACCCCAUAGUAUUACGGAGUGGCAUCACUUUGUAAUUAAAGAUUUAUCACUUGAAGAUGGCUGUGCGGCUGAUUAGAUAGUUGGUGAGGUAACGGCUCACCAAGUCUACGAUCAGUAACUGGUGUGAGAGCACGACCAGUCACACGGGCACUGAGACACGGGCCCGACUCCUACGGGAGGCAGCAGUAAGGAAUAUUGGUCAAUGGACGAAAGUCUGAACCAGCCACGCCGCGUGGAGGAUGAAGGCCCUCUGGGUUGUAAACUUCUUUUAUUUGGGACGAAAAAGUGCCUUUCUAGGUCAACUGACGGUACCAAGUGAAUAAGCACCGGCUAACUCCGUGCCAGCAGCCGCGGUAAUACGGAGGGUGCAAGCGUUAUCCGGAUUCACUGGGUUUAAAGGGUGCGUAGGUGGGUUGGUAAGUCAGUGGUGAAAUCUCCGAGCUUAACUUGGAAACUGCCAUUGAUACUAUCAGUCUUGAAUAUUGUGGAGGUCAGCGGAAUAUGUCAUGUAG
rnacentral:rRNA from 1 species